UAGAAGGGAAUUUUACUUUGAGAAACUUUUAGAAGAUUCCCUUGAGUGGAGUGAGCCUUUCCCCCAGCAGAAGAACACCCUGGUUGACCCCUGUGUGCCUCUUGCCCUGGUGCAGAGAAGAUUGGACCAGAAGCAAAUGCUGAAGAGGGAGCUCAUCAUUAUUCUCUCUUCUAAAAGAAGAGAAAAUUGAGGGACAGCAGCCUUGAUCUUAUUGAGAAGAAGAUUGAAGCGAAAGACAAGGAGAUCUUAAGAUUGAUCAAACUACAAAGGCAGAGGAGACUUGAAAAAAAGAAGUGCACCAGAGAGCCAUCAAGUACACUGAAGUAAUUUGUGAUGGAUGUCUGACUGACCUGAACCUUGGCUGCUGCUUGGUUUUCUUUGCCAUUCCUUCCUAAGGCGUGUUUUUAUGGCUUUUGAUGCAAAUGGAAGCUUCUCUGCCCUUUCAUGUGGAGACACCUGCCCUAUUGCAAGGUAGAAAUCAUCUGGCCCAUGUCUACAGCUUCUUUUCUUGAGCUGAAGUCCUCUCCUUGCAUAACUACUUCUGAUCAGAUGACACUAAGCCAUUUUCAGUUGUAAGCGUUUGGAGCUGGGGUUUGUGUUAUACAGCUCUAAUGAAGUAGAUUUUUUCCCCCCCACAAAAUGGAAUAUUCAUUCUAUGUGAAGA